AAUACCGCGUGACAACCCGAGGGGGCAUCCCCUUGGGUUCAAAGGAGAGAUCCGGUACCGGCUGGGCAUGCGGCGCAUUAGCUAGUUGGCGGGGCAACGGCCCACCAAGGCGACGAUGCGUAGGGGUUCUGAGAGGAAGGUCCCCCACACUGGAACUGAGACACGGUCCAGACUCCUACGGGAGGCAGCAGUGAGGAAUAUUGGUCAAUGGGCGCAAGCCUGAACCAGCCAAGUCGCGUGAGGGAAGACGGCCCUACGGGUUGUAAACCUCUUUUGCCGGGGAGCAAGCCUGAGCACGUGUGCCCAGGCGGAGAGUACCCGGAGAAAAAGCAUCGGCUAACUCCGUGCCAGCAGCCGCGGUAAUACGGAGGAUGCGAGCGUUAUCCGGAUUUAUUGGGUUUAAAGGGUGCGCAGGCGGGCUGUUAAGCCGGCGGUAAAAAUUCAGGGCUCAACCCUGUCGAGCCGUCGGAACUGGCAGUCUUGAGUGGGCGAGAAGUAUGCGGAAUGCGUGGUGUAGCGGUGAAAUGCAUAGAUAUCACGCAGAACGCCGAUUGCGAAGGCAGCAUACCGGCGCCCAACUGACGCUGAGGCACGAAAGCGUGGGGAUCGAACAGGAUUAGAUACCCUGGUAGUCCACGCAGUAAACGAUGAGCGCUAACUGUCCGGAGCGAGCGAGCUCUGGGUGGUACAGU
rnacentral:rRNA from 1 species